AGAGUUUGAUCAUGGCUCAGAUUGAACGCUGGCGGCAGGCCUAACACAUGCAAGUCGAGCGGAUGAGGGGUGCUUGCACCCCGAUUCAGCGGCGGACGGGUGAGUAAUGCCUAGGAAUCUGCCCGAUAGUGGGGGACAACGUUUCGAAAGGAACGCUAAUACCGCAUACGUCCUACGGGAGAAAGUGGGGGCUCUUCGGACCUCACGCUAUCGGAUGAGCCUAGGUCGGAUUAGCUAGUUGGUGGGGUAAAGGCCCACCAAGGCGACGAUCCGUAACUGGUCUGAGAGGAUGAUCAGUCACACUGGAACUGAGACACGGUCCAGACUCCUACGGGAGGCAGCAGUGGGGAAUAUUGGACAAUGGGCGAAAGCCUGAUCCAGCCAUGCCGCGUGUGUGAAGAAGGUCUUCGGAUUGUAAAGCACUUUAAGUCGGGAGGAAGGGCUGUAGGUUAAUACCCUGCGGUUUUGACGUUACCGACAGAAUAAGCACCGGCUAACUUCGUGCCAGCAGCCGCGGUAAUACGAAGGGUGCAAGCGUUAAUCGGAAUUACUGGGCGUAAAGCGCGCGUAGGUGGUUUGGUAAGUUGGAUGUGAAAGCCCCGGGCUCAACCUGGGAACUGCAUCCAAAACUGCCUGACUAGAGUACGGUAGAGGGUGGUGGAAUUUCCUGUGUAGCGGUGAAAUGCGUAGAUAUAGGAAGGAACACCAGUGGCGAAGGCGACCACCUGGACUGAUACUGACACUGAGGUGCGAAAGCGUGGGGAGCAAACAGGAUUAGAUACCCUGGUAGUCCACGCCGUAAACGAUGUCGACUAGCCGUUGGGCUCCUUGAGAGCUUAGUGGCGCAGCUAACGCAUUAAGUCGACCGCCUGGGGAGUACGGCCGCAAGGUUAAACUCAAAGGAAUUGACGG
rnacentral:rRNA from 1 species